UGAAAUUGAACGGAAGUAGUAAAUCAUCAAAAAGAAGAAAGAAGAUAAGGAUAACAACGACAUCGAUUCAAUAUGUAAUACUCGGUUUGCUUCUUAUUUAUUUUGUAUCAAU
rnacentral:ribozyme from 13 species